rnacentral:lncRNA from 1 species
UUUAUAUUCACAAAAUUAUCCACCUUAAGCUGUAUGAAAAUGGAUUAUGGCUUUCUUUUUAUCGAGCUUGUUCAUGAAUGAUGAUUCUAAGAAUUUUUUGUGACUAUCCAUUAUCUAUUACCCAUUUGAUAAUUCUCGGUGACCAACCAAAGCUCUUACAUGGCCUUUAAUGUAUGCAAAAGAGUACUACUUUAUGUAAUCCAUAUACCGUCAUCUAAUUUCUGGCUAGCAUGUGAAUUUACUUCAGAUAUACAUAUUUAUUUUAUGUUCUCAAUGCUAAACGGGGUAUGAAUAUGCUAAACGGGGUAUGAAUUGUAUCUCAUUUUGGAAGAUUCUUUAUGCUUACACUUGUUUGAUGGAGUUAUAUGUAUCUGCACAGGUUAUUUGUUCUCCUUAAGCUAUGCGAGGUUGAUAGUCUAGUACCAUAUUAAUGGGUGUUUUAUUUUUGUCUUAAUACUUAUAUAUAUUAGUACUGACAUAUUUC